rnacentral:rRNA from 1 species
GACGAACGCUGGCGGCGUGCUUAACACAUGCAAGUCGAACGGAAAGGCCCAGCUUGCUGGGUGCUCGAGUGGCGAACGGGUGAGUAACACGUGGGUGAUCUGCCCUGCACUUUGGGAUAAGCCUGGGAAACUGGGUCUAAUACCGGAUAGGACUACGGCCUGCAUGGGUUGUGGUGGAAAGUUUUCGGACGGUGUGGGAUGGGCCCGCGGCCUAUCAGCUUGUUGGUGGGGUUUUGGCCUACCAAGGCGACGACGGGUAGCCGGCCUGAGAGGGUGUCCGGCCACACUGGGACUGAGAUACGGCCCAGACUCCUACGGGAGGCAGCAGUGGGGAAUAUUGCACAAUGGGCGCAAGCCUGAUGCAGC